GCCGAAGUGGCGGAAUGGCAUACGCGGUGGUCUCAAAAACCACUGGAGGUUUGCUCCUUGUGGGUUCGACUCCCACCUUCGGCACCA
rnacentral:tRNA from 1 species